rnacentral:rRNA from 1 species
ACGGCAAACGGGUGCGGAACACGUACACAACCUUCCUUUAAGUGGGGAAUAGCCCGGGGAAACCCGGAUUAAUACCCCGUAACAUUAUGAUGUGGCAUCACAUUAUAAUUAUAGCUCCGGCGCUUAAUGAUGGGUGUGCGGCUGAUUAGAUAGUUGGCGGGGUAACGGCCCACCAAGUCUGCGAUCAGUAACUGGUGUGAGAGCACGACCAGUCACACGGGCACUGAGACACGGGCCCGACUCCUACGGGAGGCAGCAGUAAGGAAUAUUGGUCAAUGGACGCAAGUCUGAACCAGCCAUGCCGACGUGGAGGAUGAAGGUCCUCUGGAUUGUAAACUUCUUAUAUCUAGGGACGAAUGGCCUUCGGGUUAACAGCCCGGAGGAGUGACGGUACCGAGAGAAGAAGACCCCGGCUAACUCCGU